rnacentral:rRNA from 1 species
GAUGAACGCUAGCUACAGGCUUAACACAUGCAAGUCGAGGGGCAGCACAGAGAUAGCUUGCUAUCUUGGGUGGCGACCGGCGCACGGGUGAGUAACGCGUAUCCAACCUGCCCAUUACUCUGGGAUAGCCUUGCGAAAGUAAGAUUAAUACCGGAUGUUGUUAAAAACCCGCAUGAGUUUUUAACCAAAGAUUUAUUGGUAAUGGAUGGGGAUGCGUGACAUUAGGUAGUUGGUGAGGUAACGGCUCACCAAGCCUACGAUGUCUAGGGGUUCUGAGAGGAAGGUCCCCCACACAGGAACUGAGACACGGUCCAGACUCCUACGGGAGGCAGCAGUGAGGAAUAUUGGUCAAUGGACGAGAGUCUGAACCAGCCAAGUAGCGUGCAGGAUGACGGCCCUCUGGGUUGUAAACUGCUUUUAGUUGGGAAUAAAAAGAGGGACGUGUCCCUAAUUGUAUGUACCAUCAGAAAAAGGACCGGCUAAUUCCGUGCCAGCAGCCGCGGU